UACGUAGGGCGCAAGCGUUAUCCGGAAUUACUGGGCGUAAAGAGCUCGUAGGUGGUUUGUCGCGUUGUCCGUGAAAACUCACAGCUCAACUGUGGGCGUGCGGGCGAUACGGGCAGACUGGAGUACUGCAGGGGAGACUGGAAUUCCUGGUGUAGCGGUGGAAUGCGCAGAUAUCAGGAGGAACACCGGUGGCGAAGGCGGGUCUCUGGGCAGUAACUGACGCUGAGGAGCGAAAGCGUGGGGAGCGAACAGG
rnacentral:rRNA from 1 species